rnacentral:rRNA from 1 species
UACGAAGGGGGCUAGCGUUGCUCGGAAUCACUGGGCGUAAAGCGCACGUAGGCGGAUCUUUAAGUCAGGGGUGAAAUCCCAAGGCUCAACCUUGGAACUGCCUUUGAUACUGGGGAUCUCGAGUCCGGAAGAGGUUGGUGGAACUGCGAGUGUAGAGGUGAAAAUUCGUAGAUAUUCGCAAGAACACCAGUGGCGAAGGCGGCCAACUGGUCCGGUACUGACGCUGAGGUGCGAAAGCGGUGGGGAGCCAAACAGGG